GGUUUUUUGAAUUAUAAUUUAAGAUUAGUUCUGCUCAAUGAUUUAUAUUAAAUAGCCGCAGUAUUUUGACUGUGCUAAGGUAGCAUAAUCAAUUGUUUUUUAAUUGAGGACUGGAAUGAAGGAAUUGAUGAGAUUAAAGCUGUCUGUUAUAGAGUAUUAAAAUUUAAGUUUUAAGUCAUAAUUCUUAAAUAAAAUUAUGGGACGAGAAGACCCUAUAGAAUUUAAUAUAGUUUUUUAAAAUAUAAGUAUUAAAAAUUUAAUAAAAUUAAUAUUUUGUUGGGAGGAUAAUUAAAUUAAAUUAACUUUAAAAUUAAAAUUAAACAUUAAUUUAUGAUUUUUAUUAUUGAAUAAUUUUAUUAUAAAAAAUAAAAUUAAUAGAAAAUUAAUUACCUUAGGGAUAACAGCGUAAUAUUUUUAAAAAGAUCAUAUUGAUAAAAAUGUUUGCGACCUCGAUGUUGAAUUAAAAUAAAAAUUAAAUGAAGAAGUUUAAUAUUUUA
rnacentral:rRNA from 1 species